rnacentral:rRNA from 1 species
AUGGAUGAGAUCGAGGCCACCGAUCUGGUGCAAACCCUGUUGAGCAUGAGCACAUUACCAGACUGGUGUAUCAGGCAUGCUUUGUUAACAUUUUCAUCCAUAUUCCCUAAAAAAAACAUUCUCAUCCAUAUAUCAAGGCAUUGUCUAACAAAACUGUGCCAUUCAACAUCAUUUCCAUGCGUAGUAGUAACUCGUGUCUGUUAUGUGCGUGUGCGUGUGAAGUGUGGGUACGUGCAUGCCCCCCUACAUCCGGACUCUGCUUUCGAAAGGAGACCAGAAAAGCAACCACUCCUGUCAAUAGCUGCAUGCUAG